rnacentral:rRNA from 1 species
UAGCCACGGUAAUACCAGCCCCGCGAGUGGUCGGGACGCUUAUUGGGCCUAAAGCGCCCGUAGCCGGCCUGGCAAGCCCCUGCUGAAAUCCCCGGGCUCAACCCGGGGGCGGGGCAGGGGGACGUACCAGGCUAGGGGGCGGGAGAGGCCGAGGGGUACUCCCGGGGUAGGGCGAAAUCCGUAUAAUCCCGGGAGGACCACCAGUGGCGAAGGC